rnacentral:tRNA from 1 species
AAACUUAGGUUANCACAAACCAGA